rnacentral:rRNA from 1 species
AUUGAACGCUGGCGGCAUGCCUAACACAUGCAAGUCGAACGAGUGGCGGACGGGUGAGUAAUGUCUGGGAAACUGCCUGAUGGAGGGGGAUAACUACUGGAAACGGUAGCUAAUACCCCAUACCAUCGGAUUUGCCCAGAUGUGAUUAGCUAGUGGGUGGGGUAAAGGCUCACCUAGGCAACGAUCCCUAGCUGGUCUGAGAGGAUGACCAGCACCACGGGAACUGAGAAACGGCCCAGAGGCUUCGGGGAGGCAGCGGUGGGGAAUAUUGCACAAUGGGCGAAAUCCUGAUGCAGCCAUGCGGCGUGUAUGAAGAAGGCCUUCGGGUUGUAAAGUACUUUCAGCGGGGAGACGUUACCCGCAGAAGAAGCACCGGCUAACUACGUGCCAGCAGCCGCGGUAAUUC